rnacentral:rRNA from 1 species
UACAUGCAAGUCGAGCGAGCUUGCCUAGAUGAAUUUGGUGCUUGCACCAAAUGAAACUAGAUACAAGCGAGCGGCGGACGGGUGAGUAACACGUGGGUAACCUGCCCAAGAGACUGGGAUAACACCUGGAAACAGAUGCUAAUACCGGAUAACAACACUAGACGCAUGUCUAGAGUUUAAAAGAUGGUUCUGCUAUCACUCUUGGAUGGACCUGCGGUGCAUUAGCUAGUCGGUAAGGUAACGGCUUACCAAGGCAAUGAUGCAUAGCCGAGUUGAGAGACUGAUCGGCCACAUUGGGACUGAGACACGGCCCAAACUCCUACGGGAGGCAGCAGUAGGGAAUCUUCCACAAUGGACGCAAGUCUGAUGGAGCAACGCCGCGUGAGUGAAGAAGGGUUUCGGCUCGUAAAGCUCUGUUGGUAGUGAAGAAAGAUAGAGGUAGUAACUGGCCUUUAUUUGACGGUAAUUACUUAGAAAGUCACGGCUAACUACGUGCCAGCAGCCGCGGUAAUACGUAGGUGGCAAGCGUUGUCCGGAUUUAUUGGGCGUAAAGCGAGUGCAGGCGGUUCAAUAAGUCUGAUGUGAAAGCCUUCGGCUCAACCGGAGAAUUGCAUCAGAAACUGUUGAACUUGAGUGCAGAAGAGGAGAGUGGAACUCCAUGUGUAGCGGUGGAAUGCGUAGAUAUAUGGAAGAACACCAGUGGCGAAGGCGGCUCUCU